UUCCUCCCUUGUCGGCGUGGCUGGAAUCCCCCUCUAAUCUCCUCCAGUUUCUUAAAAUCUCUUUCGGGAUUCCUCAGCGAGAGCUUGCUCAACUCGGAUUUGUGUCUUUGAAGUUUGGGUUCUUUAUUUCCUUUUGUUUUUGUGGUUUUGUUGAGUUUUUGAAUUUUUUUUAUUCAAUUUUGGGCAGUGUUGUGUGUCUUGGUGAGUUAUUGGAUGUGAUGUUGGUUUUUUCUUUUUAUGGUUUUUUAUGAAAUAUCUAUGUUUUGCUGGUGUUUUGGCUGGAUCUUUUGUGGGAAUCGAUGGAUUUGUCCUUGUUUGAAGAGAUAUUCAAAGACUUAUGUAAUCAUCAUCAUCAUCUUUGUGGUUUCAAAAGCAACAAGGGAUUCUAGAUCAGCUCCGUUGCCAAGGACUUGAACUUCAUAACAAUGGAAAGUUUAAAUACUCCUAUAAAUGUGGAGGACGGGUACACUGAGUAUGAAAGUGCUUCUGAGCAUCACAACACAACUACAUCAAAAGUGUGGGAUGAUAUGAAAAAGCUUGAGUGCAAUGACAAGGAAAUAAUAAAGGCACAAUGCAAUCAUUAAGAAAAAAGAUACAUUUCGGUUAGUUGUGCAUUCUGGGUGGAAAAAGCUACCACCAAUGAAGUAUGAAGCUACUCUCAUAAGUCGGAUACUAG